CAGUAGCCGCGGUAAUACGAAGGGUGCAAGCGUUAAUCGGAAUUACUGGGCGUAAAGCGCGCGUAGGUGGUUCAUUAAGUUGGAUGUGAAAGCCCCGGGCUCAACCUGGGAACUGCAUCCAAAACUGGCGAGCUAGAGUAUGGUAGAGGGUGGUGGAAUUUCCUGUGUAGCGGUGAAAUGCGUAGAUAUAGGAAGGAACAUCAGUGGCGAAGGCGACCACCUGGACUGAUACUGACGCUCAUGCACGAAAGCGUGGGGAGCAAACAGGAUUAGAUACCCGGGUAGUCCCUGUCUCUUAUAC
rnacentral:rRNA from 1 species